UGUUAUGAUUUCUACAGAUGUAAAAACAAUUUUCAACUUUUGUUUAUUGCUUGGCUCCAGAAUUGACUGGGUUAGUGAGGAUCUUGAGAAGCCACUUCCUUCACUGCUAAAAUGAAACAGCUGACAGGAUGAUCAGCUCUUCAUAUUAAUCAAGCCUUCCAGCUGAUGAUGUGAAGCUUGGCAUUGGCAAAUAGAAUGGGGCAGUUACAAAAGGAUUUGCAUUAGACCAAAUUCCAAACAGCUUUUGAAUAAACUUACUGUAUGUGAAUAAAUUUUUGAUUUUAUCCACUGAUAAUUGCUUUUCUGAAAUAUAACUACUUGAUAACAUUUAUUUGGUUAAUUAA